UACGGAGGGUGCGAGCGUUGUCCGGAAUCACUGGGCGUAAAGGGCGCGUAGGCGGCCCGCGCAAGCGUGCGGUGAAAGCCCGGGGCUCAACCCCGGGUCGGCCGUGCGGACUGCGGGGCUCGAGCACUGUAGGGGCAGAUGGAAUCCCGGGUGUAGCGGUGGAAUGCGUAGAGAUCCGGAAGAACACCGGUGGCGAAGGCGGUCUGCUGGGCAGUAGCUGACGCUGAGGCGCGACAGCGUGGGGAGCAAACAGG
rnacentral:rRNA from 1 species